CUGAGACAAGGAUAUAGCAGUGAUGCUGAAUUUGAAAUGUUAUGAAGGAACUGAAUGAAGAGAGAGUUCCCUCUCCCCUCAAAAUGAAAUGGGAUAGGAGAGAGUAUGCCCUUGAGCUAUUGGAAGGAUGGAAAAAUGAUCUGUCAUACAACCUAAAGGAGUACAUCAUGAGACACUAGAGGCUGGAUAAAUAAAAAGCUGUAAUUAAGGUUUCAAGGAUAAAUAUCAACAAUCUCAGAUAUGCAAAACACUUAUGGUAAAAGAGAAGGAAGAGUUAAAAAAUCUCUUCGUGAGGGUAAAAGAGGAAAGUUUAAAAACUGUCUUGAAGAUCAUAGCUGUCAUUUCCUGGCAAAUAGAAGGAGAAGAAAUAGAAGCAAUGUCAACUUUUUUAUAUUCUUGGGCUCAAAAAUCACUGCAGAUAAUGAAUGCAAUGAAGAAAUUAAAAGAUGCUUUCUCCUUGGAAGAAAUGUUAUGUCAAAUCUGGGCAACAUACUAAAAAGCAGAGACAUCACCUUGCUGACAAAGGUUCAUAUAGUCAAAAUUGUGGUUUUUCUAGUAGCAAUAUGUGGCUGUGAAAAUUGGACUAUAAGGAAAGAUGAGUGUUGCGGCCAUCAGAUGAGCACUACAGAAUUAAUUCUUUGGAACUGUAAUGCUGGAAAAGACUUUUGAGAAUCCCUUAGUCAGCAAGGAGAUUAAAUAUGUCAAUACUUAAAAAAAUUAAUUCAAACUAUUCAUUGGAAAGUCAAGUGCUUAAGCUGAAGCUUACAUACUUUGGCUACAUAAUAAGAAGACAGAAUUCAUUGGAAAAGAUACUGUGGUUGGAAAAGAUUGAUGGCAAAAGAAGAGAAUGGCAGAGGAUAACAGUGUAAAGGAAAAAAUACAUAUGAGUUUGAACAGACUUCAAGAGAUAGUAGAGGAAAGAAAGACUAUUAUCUAUGGGGUCACAAAGAGUCAGACAUGAUUGAAUGACUGAACAACAACAAUUUUUCAAAAGUGCCAUAUAAAAGCACAGGAACAGCAAUACUGAUUUGCUAUGAUUUGUUAUAUGACUUUGAAAAAUAUUCUUUUCCUAUACUUAAGUAACUCUGUAAAAUAA